rnacentral:rRNA from 1 species
UACGUAGGUGGCGAGCGUUAUCCGGAUUUAUUGGGUUUAAAGGGUGCGUAGGCGGCGAGUUAAGUCAGCGGUAAAAGCCCGGGGCUCAACCCCGGCCCGCCGUUGAAACUGGCUGGCUUGAGUUGGGGAAAGGCAGGCGGAAUGCGCGGUGUAGCGGUGAAAUGCUUAGAUAUUGCGCAGAACUCCGAUUGCGAAGGCAGCAUACCGGCGCCCGACUGACGCUGAGGCACGAAAGCGUGGGGAGCAAAUAGG